AAAAAAAAAAAAGGCAGUUUUUAGGUGAAUGUCUGUCUCCUACUUUUUUUUAAACUUGGUAAUAAAAAUAAUUUUUUGAAAAUUAAAAACUAAUAGAACUCUUUAUCCCGUUUUUCUCUUUGAAACUUGAGUAAUUACGUAUAAGUUGUGAAUAAUUUCUGUCCUCAAAGUAUUUUUUUUAUGUCACUCAGUUUUAAUUUCAAAUUUUACAUUUGUUAAUGACCCAUUUUUACUAUAUCUAAAGAUUGCCAUCUACUGGCAUAUCAUAGCUUUGGGGUCUGUUAUUUUGGGGUCUGUUAAUGUUCAUAAAUUGAAAUUUCAAUGAAGUUAUUUUCUCAGCUGAUUUUGCAAUUGCAUUUUAUUUCAUAGGAUAAGAGAAUAGUUAGGGAAAUGUUAACAGCACUUUAUCAUGCCAAAGUACACUGCAGUGUGUGGUUAAUUAAAAGCCUAUUAGAACAAAAUACUGGCAUGUGAAUGAACUUCAUAUUCUUCCAAUUUAAGCCAUGUUUCAUAUUUCUGUAAGAAGAGAAGGGCACGUUUACGUAAGUUUCAAAUGCUUAAAGAAACAGAACAUUUGUAGUGAUUCUGUCCUCCUGGCAUGUAGUGGCUUGGUGGCUCAAUAAAUUAAUUAGGGGUAGAAUUUAAUAAUGGAAAUUCCAAAAUUGUGGGAGACUCCUUUUACUCCUCAAGCAAAUUUUUGAUUAAUUCUAACAUUCCUUAGGCUUCUAGAUCCUCCUACAUCCCAGCUUCAUAGAAUCAUAGAAUUGUUUGAGUUGGAAGGGACCUCUGCAGGUCAUCCAGCCCAACUUCCCUGCAGUGAACAGGGACAGCUUCCUCUUCAGGAUCUCUGAGCAGGAGCAGAAAAGCCCUGCCAUCAGGCUCAGUGUUAGUGCACACCUAGGGUGUCAUAAUCUCAGAAGUUUGUGGCAGCUGUGGGGUAGCUACUCCUGCAUUUAUUUCAGGUGUAUAGGCAGAAUGUGCCCCAGGUGUGCAGAGGGGAUGGGUCCUGUAGGCAGUGAUGUUUUUCUAAGGAGGCAGAGGGUGCUAGGAGCUAGUGUGUGCAGAGGGGAGCUGAGGAGCUGGUCUGUGCAUCUCAGGAAUGGGGACUCUCCUUACUGUUUGGGAAGGAAUGUCUUCCUGAUGACGAAAAUGCUGCAUGACCAAAGCUUCCACCAUAUCGGAUCUUCGCGUAUCCCAUAUCCCUGUUAUUCACCAUUCCCAUCCUGCUGUGUUUUGGGGACAGAGAGGUAUCACAACAUUUGA
rnacentral:lncRNA from 1 species